rnacentral:rRNA from 1 species
CCUACGGGAGGCAGCAGUUGGGAAUUUUGCACAAUGGACGAAAGUCUGAUGCAGCAACGCCGCGUGCGGGAUGAAGAUUUUCGGAUUGUAAACCGCUUUUAUUUGGGAGUAACUGUUUGAACGUACCAAAUGAAUAAGCACCGGCUAACUCCGUGCCAGCAGCCGCGGUAAUACGGAGGGUGCAAACGUUGUCCGGAAUUACUGGGCGUAAAGCGCAUGUAGGUGGUCUAAUAAGUGAACGAUUAAAUACCGACGCUUAACGUCGGAAAGGUUAUUCAUACUGUUAGACUCGAGGAAGACAGGGGCAGAUGGAACUUUAAGUGUAGGAGUGAUAUCCGUAGAUAUUUAAAGGAACACCAAUGGCGAAGGCAGUCUGCUGGGUCUUUUACUGACACUGAGAUGCGAAAGUGUGGGGAGCAAACGGGAUUAGAUACCCCGGUAGUCCACACUGUAAACGAUGCUCACUAGUCGUUGGUAGGUAGUACGUACCCGUUUACGUACCGACGACGUACGUACGUACGUAGAGCGCCGUCGGGAGGUACGACGACGAAGUUAAACGUUAAACGUAAGUAGUACGCGUGAGACGUAGCCGACGACGACGACGAGGGAGAG